rnacentral:rRNA from 1 species
UACGUAGGGUGCAAGCGUUAAUCGGAAUUACUGGGCGUAAAGCGUGCGCAGGCGGUUUUGUAAGCCAGAUGUGAAAUCCCCGGGCUUAACCUGGGAACUGCAUUUGGGACUGCAAGGCUGGAGUACGGCAGAGGGAGGUGGAAUUCCAGGUGUAGCGGUGAAAUGCGUAGAUAUCUGGAGGAACACCGGUGGCGAAGGCGGCAUCCUGGACCAAUAUUGACGCUGAGGAGCGAAAGCCAGGGGAGCAAACGGG